UACGGAGGGUGCGAGCGUUGUCCGGAAUCACUGGGCGUAAAGGGCGCGUAGGCGGCAUGCCAAGCGUGUGGUGAAAGCCCGGGGCUCAACCCCGGGUCGGCCGUGCGGACUGGCGUGCUCGAGCACUGUAGGGGCGGGUGGAAUUCCUGGUGUAGCGGUGAAAUGCGCAGAUAUCAGGAGGAACACCGAUGGCGAAGGCAGGUCUCUGGGCCACUACUGACGCUGAGAAGCGAAAGCAUGGGGAGCGAACAGG
rnacentral:rRNA from 1 species